GGGGAUUUAGCUCAGUAGUAGAGCACUUACCUAGCAAGCAUGAAAACCCUGAAUUCAUUCCCCA
rnacentral:tRNA from 1 species